AAAAAAAAAGGGUUUUUGGGAUGAUACACACUAAUGCAUCUUUAGUUCACAGCAAUUGCCAUUUUCCACCGUAUUAUGUAUAUAAAUAACCAAUUUCUUCCAUCAACCUACUUUCAACUUGACAUAUAUAAGCCAACAUAGCACAUAUAAGCCGUGAAGGUGACAGUGACACUGUUACAAUAAUAAGAAAACAAAAUAGGAAUUUCAAAAAUGCUUACCGUUAAAAGCUUCUCCCUAUCAUGGGGAA
rnacentral:misc_RNA from 1 species